AUGUUGUUUUGUCAAAAUAAAAAAAAAUAUUUGCGGGGUUUUAAACGGCUCGUGUUUAUGGGUUGACAGGUCUGAAGUAAAAGUCGUGUGAUAGAUAUAAACCCUAAAGGAGUCAAUAUUUCUUAUAAUUUAAAAAAGCAAAAUAAAAAAUUUACAUUUUAUUUAUAAAAUAUCAAAUUUGUUAGCUAAACAUGUUCACAAACUCGACUCAAAAUUGGUCUACAUGCGCAUUACCGGCGCCAAGAAUCUUUAUAAGUAGAAAAAAUGGGCCCUUGUUGAGCCAAAUUUGUAUGAGAGUUUAAACUUUUUGUUGGGUUUAUAUUUAAACUAUUGGACCACUUCUAAUGAAUGAGAGUUUAAACUUUUUGUUGGGUUCAUAUUUAAACUAUUGGACCACUUCUAAUGAAUGAGAGUUUAAACUUUUUGUUGGGUUUAUAUUUAAACUAUUAUAUUAAGUUAUUCUACAAAGAUUUCUAAAAGUAAAAAGUGUAAGAAUGCAUUAUAAAGUGACAGGUGUCCAAGAACCCUACCCCCAUCACCCACCCCCAUUUUUUUUGUGUAGUGGGUUUAUUUUUAGAAGCCUUUGAACACUUCUUAUAUUUAGAAGCCUUUGUAUUUGAUCCUAAACCUUAAGCUAUUGGACCACUUCUAAAUGAGUUUAAACUUUACUAACGGGUGUUCAACUAGUAAAACAGUAACUUAUGUUAAAAUGAAUUUAGUGUUCAAUGAGUUUAAAAUAAAUAAAAUAUUAAUGGAUUUAAAUGUUUAACAAAGUAUAUAGAUUUUUUUUAAAUAUAUAUAGUAUAUACACAUACUAAACCCAAACCUGUGAAUCUGCUUAGUGUCAUACUAAAAAUUCAUACCCCUUAAUUUUAUUACUAAAUCAUUCCAAAUCGGCAGUGAUAUGUUUCUAUGUGCUUAUGAAGUUUUUCUUGAAUAUUGUACUUGCCGACAAUAUUUUCAGAGGUGAAACUAUUACAUCUGACCUCAAAGUUCAAAUUAGUGAUCUCUUUAUUCCUAUAUUUAUUACUUGACUUUUACUUUCUGAAAAAAAAAAAUGUAAAUGUACUACCCUCAAAACAUUGUUUGAC
rnacentral:lncRNA from 1 species